UAUGUGAUCGUCUCUCGCAUAUCAAUAAGCGGAGGAAAAGAAACUAACAAGGAUUCCCUUAGUAACGGCGAGUGAAGCGGGAAGAGCUCAAAUUUGAAAUCUUCAAGGUUUUACCUUGACGAAUUGUAGUUUAAAGAAGUGUUUUCUGUUGAAGUUUUGGUAAAAGUUCUUUGGAAUAGGACAUCAUAGAGGGUGAGAAUCCCGUAUUUGACCAUUAUUUUCAGCUGUGUGAUACACUUUCAAAGAGUCGGAUUGUUUGGGAAUGCAGUCCAAAAUGGGUGGUAAAUUUCAUCUAAAGCUAAAUAUUGGCGAGAGACCGAUAGCGAACAAGUACCGUGAGGGAAAGAUGAAAAGAACUUUGAAAAGAGAGUUAAACAGUACGUGAAAUUGUCAAAAGGGAAGCGUUUGACACCAGUGUUGUUUUCUCGAAAAUCAAUUAAAAAGAGUUAGAUUUUGUUGUGUAUUGACCUUAACAGCUUGCAUUUCAAUUUUCUUGCUUUUUUUAAUGCACUUUUCGUUUAACAAGUCAACAUCAGUUUCUUUUGUUGUAAAAAGGUCAUUGGAAGGUGGCUUUCUUUUCGGAGAAAGUGUUUAUAGCCUUUGACUCCUGCAAUCGGAGAGACUGAGGUCUGCAGCGUAGAUCCUUCGGGGUUAGAUACAUUUGUGCUAAGUUAUAGCUUUUUAUAGACAACUUGUUGACUAUGAUUAGUCUUGUAGCUUACUCGCUUAUGCUAUUUUACCUACGCUUAGGAUGUUGAAGAUGUAGCACAUCA
rnacentral:rRNA from 1 species